GGACAGGUGACCGAUGGACAGGUGAGUGAUGGACAGGUGACCGAUGGACAGGUGAGUGAUGGACAGGUGACUGAUGGACAGGUGAGUGAUGGACAAGUCCACUCCAGUUCACAGGUGAAAUAAAUCAGAAGUUUUAGUUUUUCCUGUUUUGAGGAAGGUGUUUCAGUUUCCAGCAGGUUCUUCACCUGCUUUGUGCGCACGUGUGAUCAAUCAGAACAAUCAGUGUGACAAACAGGAAACAGAACAAACUGUACAGUUUCACAGACCAAAGGAAAAGCAGUUGGAAUUGGCUCUUUCAAAAUAAAAGACCCUCCGGUUGCAGGAGACUGAGGAGCAGAGCAAGGCAUGUGUGUAUUUGUGUGUUUUAGGUGACAGAUGGUGUGUUUGUUUAAAAGUGUGUGUGUUUGUACUCAUCUUGCUAACAUAGUUAGGACCUUAGUUUAACCCUUGUUAUGGUGAUAUGUGUGUGUGUUGUGG